rnacentral:rRNA from 1 species
CCUACGGGUGGCAGCAGUGGGGGAUAUUGCACAAUGGGGGAAACCCUGAUGCAGCGACGCCGCGUGGGUGAAGAAGUAUUUCGGUAUGUAAAGCCCUAUCAGCAGGGAAGAAAGAAGACGGUACCUGACUAAGAUGCCCCGGCUAACUACGGGCCGGCACCAGCGGCAAUACGGAGGGGGCGAGCGUUAUCCGGAUGCACUGGGUGUAAAGGGAGCGUAGACGGCCGUGCAAGCCAGGAGUGAAAGCCCGGGGCCCAACCGCGGAAGUGCGCUUGCAACUGUGAGGCUAGAGUGCGGGAGGGGCAGGCGGAAUGCGUGGUGUAGGGGUGAAAUGCGUAGAUAUCAGGAGGAACACCGGCGGCGAAGGCGGCCUGCUGGAACGCGACUGACGUUGAGGCGCGAAAGCGUGGGGAGCGAACAGGAUUAGAUACCCGUGUAGUC